rnacentral:misc_RNA from 1 species
AAACUGCGAUACGUAAUGUGAAUUGCAGAAUUCAGUGAAUCAUCGAAUCUUUGAACGCAAAUUGCGCUUUAGGGUAAUUCUCUAAAGCAUACCUGGUUGAGCAUCAUUUCCUAAACUCUUACAAAUUCAUUUUUGUAAGGAUAAUGAAGGUCUUGCAAUAAAGUCCUUUGAAAUUCAGGCAAACUGGAGAUGAAAAAUGUAUUUUUUUCAGUUUCAAGAUUUAAGCGUCUUAAAACUAAAAAGUCAAAUCUGCGUGAUGGAAAUUUUAGUUUCAAUGUAUGCUCUUGAAAUGAUGACUAAAGUCGCUUUCUUCCCUUUUGCAAAACCAAUAAGGUUGAUUUUUUUUGAAAUCAUGAUCUCAACUCAGGUAAGACUACCCGCUGAACUUAA